GUUCGCUGCCGCGUAGGCAGCUCAGAAA
rnacentral:other from 20 species